GUAGGGAAUAUUGGGCAAUGGAGGCAACUCUGACCCAGCCAUGCCGCGUGCAGGAUGACGGCCCUCUGGGUUGUAAACUGCUUUUAUACGGGAAGAAAAAAUACUACGUGUAGUAUACUGACGGUACCGUAAGAAUAAGGAUCGGCUAACUCCGUGCCAGCAGCCGCGGUAAUACGGAGGAUCCAAGCGUUGUCCGGAUUUAUUGGGUUUAAAGGGUGAGUAGGCGGAUCUUUAAGUCAGUGGUGAAAGCCUGCAGCUUAACUGUAGAAUUGCCAUUGAAACUGAAGAUCUUGAAUGUGGUUAAAGUAGGCGGAAUGUAUCAUGUAGCGGUGAAAUGCUUAGAUAUGAUACAGAACACCGAUAGCGAAGGCAGCUUGCUGAACCAUUAUUGACGCUGAGGCACGAAAGCGUGGGGAGCGAACAGGAUUAGAUACCCUGGUAGUCC
rnacentral:rRNA from 1 species